AGAGAGAGACAUGCGCGCAUAUCAAUAAGCGGAGGAAAAGAAACUAACAAGGAUUCCCUUAGUAACGGCGAGUGAAGCGGGAAGAGCUCAAAUUUGAAAUCUUCAAGGUUUUACCUUGACGAAUUGUAGUUUAAAGAAGUGUUUUCUGCUGAAGUUUUGGUAAAAGUUCUUUGGAAUAGGACAUCAUAGAGGGUGAGAAUCCCGUAUUUGACCAUUAUUUUCAGCUUUGUGAUACACUUUCAAGGAGUCGGAUUGUUUGGGAAUGCAGUCCAAAAUGGGUGGUAAAUUUCAUCUAAAGCUAAAUAUUGGCGAGAGACCGAUAGCGAACAAGUACCGUGAGGGAAAGAUGAAAAGAACUUUGAAAAGAGAGUUAAACAGUACGUGAAAUUGUCAAAAGGGAAGCGUUUGACACCAGUGUUGUUUUCUCGAAAAUCAAUUAAAAAUGGCUCGAUUUUGUAUUGUUGAGACCUUAAAAGCUCACUGUACAUUUUUCCGUGUCUUUUUUAAUGCACUUUUCGUUUAACAAGUCAACAUCAGUUUCUUUUGUUGUAAAAGGGUCAUUGGAAGGUGGCUUUCUUUUCGGAGAAAGUGUUUAUAGCCUUUGGCCUCUGCAAUCGGAGAGACUGAGGUCUGCAGCGUAGACUCUUCGGGGUUAGAUACAUUUGUGCUAAGUUAUAGCUUUUUAUAGACAACUUGUUGACUAUAAUUAGUCUUGUAGCUUACUCGCUUAUGCUAUUUUACCUACGCUUAGGAUGUUGAAGAUGUAGCACAUCAU
rnacentral:rRNA from 1 species